UGCAAUUACAGGCAACUGGAAAUCGGUGCAGUGAGCCAAGACAGAUGCAAUGUUCACACUGUUCUGAAAGACAAGCAGCAGAAUAAGAUUUCCCCUGUCAAUCCUGAAAUAACACAGCAUAGUGGAAUGGCACAUGGCUGAAGGGUACACUGCAGUCCUGCUACUUCCAAUCAAGAUAUUAGUGGGGUGGGAAGAGAGGUUUGUGCACCUUUAAGGCACACCAGUAAAGGAUGCAGGAAAUAAAAGGAUGCUUAGUACAGGAGGAGGUAUAUAUGACAACCAUGAAGAAAGAACAUCUUCUAACUAGAACUGGCACUGAAUUUUACAUCUGAAAAACACUUCUGACAGAAGAAAUCUGGACUAAGAUACUUUCAACAGCUGGAGGACUUGGAGUCAAUACACCACAGAAAUCAAAGCCAGCUACACAAAGUACAAACCCACACUAACAUUUAAGCAUUCACUCAAUGCUUAAAAUAUGUGUAUCCAGAGUUUGAUCAAAAAAACCUUAACUUUUUUUCCAAAGGA